ACGAACGCUGGCGGCGNGCCUAACACAUGCAAGUCGAACGGGGUUAUACGGGAUGAAGUUUUCGGAUGGAAUUCUGUAUAACCUAGUGGCGGACGGGUGAGUAACACGUGAGCAACCUGCCUAUCAGAGGGGGAUAACGAUUGGAAACGAUCGCUAAUACCGCAUAAUGUAUACUGACCGCAUGAUCGGCAUAUCAAAGAUUUAUUGCGCAAAGAUGGGCUCGCGUCUGAUUAGCUGGUUGGUGAGGUAACGGCUCACCAAGGCGACGAUCAGUAGCCGGACUGAGAGGUUGAACGGCCACAUUGGAACUGAGAUACGGUCCAGACUCCUACGGGAGGCAGCAGUGGGGAAUAUUGGGCAAUGGGCGCAAGCCUGACCCAGCGACGCCGCGUGAGGGAAGAAGGUCUUCGGAUUGUAAACCUUUGUAGACAGGGACGAAACAAAUGACGGUACCUGUAAAGUAAGCCACGGCUAACUACGUG
rnacentral:rRNA from 1 species